ACGAACGCUGGCGGCGUGCCUAAUACAUGCAGGUAGAACGCUGAAGAGAGGAGCUUGCUCUUCUUGGAUGAGUUGCGAACGGGUGAGUAACGCGUAGGUAACCUGCCUUGUAGCGGGGGAUAACUAUUGGAAACGAUAGCUAAUACCGCAUAACAAUGGAUCACACAUGUCAUUUAUUUGAAAGGGGCAAUUGCUCCACUACAAGAUGGACCUGCGUUGUAUUAGCUAGUAGGUGAGGUAAUGGCUCACCUAGGCGACGAUACAUAGCCGACCUGAGAGGGUGAUCGGCCACACUGGGACUGAGACACGGCCCAGACUCCUACGGGAGGCAGCAGUAGGGAAUCUUCGGCAAUGGGGGCAACCCUGACCGAGCAACGCCGCGUGAGUGAAGAAGGUUUUCGGAUCGUAAAGCUCUGUUGUAAGUCAAGAACGGGUGUGAGAGUGGAAAGUUCACACUGUGACGGUAGCUUACCAGAAAGGGACGGCUAACUACGUG
rnacentral:rRNA from 1 species